AACGAACGCUGGCGGCAGGCCUAACACAUGCAAGUCGAGCGCCCCGCAAGGGGAGCGGCGGACGGGUGAGUAACGCGUGGGAACGUACCCUUUGCUACGGAAUAGCCUCGGGAAACUAGGAGUAAUACCGUAUGUGCCCUUCGGGGGAAAGAUUUAUCGGCAAAGGAUCGGCCCGCGUUGGAUUAGGUAGUUGGUGGGGUAAUGGCCUACCAAGCCGACGAUCCAUAGCUGGUUUGAGAGGAUGAUCAGCCACACUGGGACUGAGACACGGCCCAGACCCCUACGGGAGGCAGCAGUGGGGAAUCUUAGACAAGGGGCGCAAGCCUGAUCUAGCCAUGCCGCGUGAGCGAUGAAGGCCUUAGGGUUGUAAAGCUCUUUCAGUGGGGAAGAUAAUGACUGUACCCACAGAAGAAGCCCCGGCUAACUCCGUGCCAGCCGCCGCAGUAA
rnacentral:rRNA from 1 species